ACUCAGUUCGCGAACCCGAACCGAUGCUAUUUUCUUUCUAAGAGGAGGCAAUAAAUUGACUGCGAUAAGCUUGACAGCUAUUGAGUCCCAACUUGUCCCAAUACCUAAAACAGUUUUCCCACAAUCCAACGUUCGCUACGCAGCCGUAUCCGAUGACAAACUUAAGUACUACAAAAUACGCGUUUCUCUAAACAGUGCUGCUCACAGCUAUCUGUUUUUGCUCAUGCUUCGAACCCGAGCCCAAAUCGCUUAAAAUUGCUUAAAUAAAUUGGCUCCAAACACUUGAACUGGUCGAGCCCUAGGCGACACACAAUGUCCUUCCUGAUCCUAAGCGCUUCAAGGGUUCGUCGCGCCGUCUAGACUUACAAUAAUUUAUUGUUUCCAAAUGUCGCGUUCGUUGUUCUCGCAUUCACCCUGUGGCGCAGGAAAAACUCAAGGUAUUUUCUCACGCUGAGAAAACCAUACGCCAAGAACAACGAUUCCAGAAUUUCGGCAAGCUACUUAAGUCUAAUAAGUCUACCCGAGCGUCGUCGACCAAAUGUAUCAGGGGUGAGAUAAUGACCUAAACCAAGUACGCACAAUAUGAUCGAUACUUGGGAUCCCCGAGCUACGCGAGCUAGCUUUUCUCGGAAACUCUAACGAGCCUUCCUCAAGAAGCGACCGUCCUUCCUGGGGCAUCGGGCCAUGGAGGAAAUACUCCCAAGUUUUCCAUCCGUUCCCGAUCGGUCGCUUAAUUGUACGCGAACUACGCGAGGUACGCGGGCCAGCCUUCCCCGGAAACACAAGCGAGUCUCUUUCGUGAAGUGACUACCCUUCCAGGCGACAUGUCUCCCAGGAGCAACUGGCCACAGAGGAAACGCUCCCAAGUUUUCCAUCCGUUCCGGGCCUCGCCGUUUACUGGCCUUCAUCGGCCGAGGGCGAGGAAAGCGGCCCCGAUCAGUCCCUUAAUUGAAUUGCACGCGGCCUACACAACGGUGUCGAAACCUGUUGUGCUGAGACGCUCACCUUUAGAAGUCUGUGUUUCCAGCUGACCCACGUCCGUAACACUACUUGUCGUACAGCGUUUUUUCAAAUAUUGAACAUAAAUCUACCGCGGAACAAUUGGUUGCAUCCAAUUGACGUAUUUAAUUAGGAGAGUAGGCCAUUUAGUGUUACUAAUAUCUGUGUUUUCGUAGACAAGAAUAGAAAAUUUUUCAUGUCGAGCAUUAUCAAUAAAAUUCUAUUGGACUCUAUUUUAGAAAGUACAUUUUUUAUGUUGUAUUUUUUACAUUUAAAUCUAGAUAAAGUUAAUUUACUGGCAAUAUAUGAAUGGGGAAAAAUGGCUUUUGAUAUUCGUCGCACAGCAUUCAAGUCUUUUUCCAUUUUUUUUUAUACUUUUGAGCAACAAUCACACGCAGUCGCACGUACGCCGAUGAAGCUCGACGCGCGUAUAAAUAAUAUAAAUAUGUACAUAUAGUUGUAUAUUUAUACUCGUGUUACACAUCCACGUUAACCCCUCCCCGUGCCAUUUAACUCGACGAAACUCGGGCCCAAACGGUAGGUGUCAAAGCGGAGAACUAACAUCCAAUUACGAUUAUGUUACGAUAUUUAUGUUUGGCACACAAUUUUCUGUUCAUGAGCCUGGCUUGUGAUAUUCAUGUUUGGUCCAAAAUCUUCAUCACGAGUCAUACUCGUUAAAGCACGGAGAGGGGUUAAAAUCGAACGUUUUACGAAAUGAUUCAUCCAUGUCCUAUCCUGUAAUAAUGUCACUGCUGAUUUCGAUAAGUUUUGACAUUAGUCAAAAUGUCCGUUCCUCCUUAGGAACGUUUCCUUAAACGUUGGAUUUUCACACAGCACUGAUAGUAAAGUUCUUAACCCUUAACUAAGUUUAGCUCAGAAUGUUCGUAAUCAAUAAAUAGACAUCGACAACAAAUUACAAAUGCUUUCUCGAUUCAGAUGCCGCGUCGAUGCAGCCCGUCGAACUUUAACUGCAUCUCUCGUACAUAUACACUCUUUCCGUUUCGUGUGUAUGUAUCUGUAUGAGUAGAUAUUUAUUGUAUAAUACAUGGUCGCGUAUGGAUUCUUAUAGUCGAGUUAUGACGCAGUAGUCCCUAUUAUGUCUCUAUUAUCUUUAGUUAUGAUCUAUAAAUCUUCCGUAUCUGUAUCAUUUCAAAUCUGCGUAUAGCCAAUAGCGGUUAUUAAUUUCUGUGCAUUUGCCAUUAAUAAUUAGUUCGGUAAAAAAUCUCCUUAGGUUUCCCUUUCUUUAAACCACGACUAUAAACGCUCAUAUUUUUUCAUCUUAGAUCUUCAUUCGUGUUACACAGUCUUCUUUUAGGGCCUUUCUUGAUGAAUUCAUAAAUUAGUAUCGCAUUUUUACAAAUAUUCAGAAUUAUCAACACACAAACUUUAUAUUUCGUGGGAAAGUUUCUCGGUUUACGUUCUAUCACUAUAUCACUGUUGUCCAUGUGUUUUAUCUUUAAGUACCGGGGUUCGACACAUUGACGGAAAGAUAUUUCAAUUUGAGUUUGUUAAAAAAUUUGGAACAACGCCCAAAUAUCACUCAUGCAUUGUCAGACAUGAAUCCAAUUACAUUUUGUAUACGGAUCUGCUUCUUGUACAGUGCUUUUUCAAAUAGUGAAAAUAAACUUUGUGUGGAACAAUUGGUUGGAUUUAAUACGAUUAUUCAGCGUUGGAUAAUUGUAUACGAUGGUUUUUCGAAUCGACGACGACUAUCGGAAGUCAGUGCUAUAUUCCAUGGCUAGUUGAAUUGGCUGCAGCGGCAGCGUUUCUCACCGAUGGCCACCAGAAAUAGGUUUAGGAUUAGAUAGGAUUGCUUUCUCGUUUUUGUCAGUAUGUUCUUUUGCCAUACGCCGCUGGAAGCGUAUGUGAGAUACCGUAUUCCAGCUCUUCUAUUUAUUCUAGAUUUAAUUCUAUCCUAGGUGCAGCCGGUUGCCCAUUCUCCUAUUCUGGAACCAGAUUUUCACCUGGAGAUUGCUCUCUUGUCUUUAUAAGUACGUUCUUUCGCAUAUUCGCCGUCGAAAGCAUAUGUGAGACGACGUAGUCCAAAUCUUCUGUUUCUUCUGGAUUUAAUUCUAUCCUGGCUGCCGCCGGUUGCUCAUUUUCCUAUUUUGAAACCAUACUUUGACCUGUCUUUGGUGAUAGUCUAACGGAAGUCCGGAGUGUGAGGAGAAGAAGGGUACGCAAAAAAACGACAUGUGAUAAUUCGUAUAAGAAUUAUAAAAAUGAAACGUUAUUGUCGCGACCGGUCACCCGGCCGCGUUCUCGAAAGAAAUACGAAAUAAAAAGAACCGUUCGCAACGCGAACGUUUAUGUUAUUGAUUAUUUAUUGUAUUGGCCUGGGGCACGGUCGUGUCGUUGCCGCUGAAUGUCCUUAGCGGCGAUUUCUGUAAAAACAAAAGAAAAGAAAUACCGAAGCGAUGUAUUAGUUAUUUCGCUCGGAAUCGGCAGAAAAUAAUUAUUAUAAUUUGUGGACUGUAUGUUGCUGAGAGGAAUUCUCCGGCGUUUUACUCUCUAUUCUCAAUUAGAAGCAAUUGAGACGAGGCCGACAAUAACGUUUGAUUAUCGCUGGAUCGGUGCACCGAUCAGCUGUAACCAGACGCUGUCUGCACUGCACGUACAGUGUAUACGGGCUGUACGGGAGCUCAGGUUGUAAGACCAAGGACUCCGACUGAUCCGAAAUAAUAAAUGAUCAGCCUGGAAUGCAGACGACACCACCACCGACGUCCCUAAGCCAGGGCUAACUCGAACGCCUGUUUAUUCGCGGUGCGCUGCAGGUCACGGGCUGAUGCACUACCAACCUACUGCAGGUCCAAUACGAAGACGUGGUUCCUCGACCGGCCGGUCAGCCAACAAUUAAGGCUAUUGCGACCUGCGGAAUGUCCGGAACGUACGUACGUCGAUUUAUCAACGUACCGCUUUCUCGAUGCUUUGAAACAGCGAUAAUGCUGAAUGCGAAAGAGAAUCUUUCAUUCGGAAGAAAAGACGGAAGGGAAUUUGUUGCAUGACUCUGGCUCUGAUUGAGGAAUCUCAAAAUCAGGAAGCUAGCAAAGAAUAAAAUGCAUAUAUAAAUUCUGUUGUAGAGCUCAUUAUCGAUUAUAGACGAAAAGGCGUCUUAGACAAACGUACUCCUUGACUGCCAACUGCUGACAAGAUCGGUGCUUCGACUCUAGCUCUCUAGGAAGACGAGAUUCCCCACUAACCGGCGGGAGCGACGAAUAUUCUUUCCCUUUUCAAUAAAUUAUCGUCCUUCUUUGUUGUAUUUACGUAAAUUACACGUGUACUGGUGUCUACUGAAUCGGCUAGGUAGGCGGUGUUGAUCAUUUUUUCUACUCGCGGUGACUUAGCCGGCUAGCAAAACGUUACAUCGUUCCUUGUAGUCGGCAACCUUUCAUACGCGAAUUAAAGAAUUACUAACAGCCGAGCGAUGCUCUUAAACUGUUUUUCCGUCCACGAGGAAAAUCUAAGUGUCUAAGUGAGUGUAGACUCACACAAUUUUCUCUCGACUUAACAAUUAUAAUAUAUUCACCGCUGUGGAUGUCAUGGGAUACGGAAAAAGCAGCUAUCGGGAAAUUUUCGCCCAUUCCGUGCUGAGCCGAUAACAAAUGUCAUCCGGGAUCUUAAGGAGUAACCGACCAACGUGGUGGCUGGAGCAUCGUUAUCGGCACAAAUCACCACGGAUGUUCUGGAGAACCUGCCGCAUCAAAGAGACCGAAGAGGUACGAAGACGCUUACAAUGAGGGAGACAUUCAAAGAUUCUUUCCUUUCGGAAGCUGGCAGCGUACCAUGACAGGAGGAGCAUCUUUGAGCCUUGACGAAAACAGUUUUUCUCAGUCUCAAAAUCGACAAGUUUGAUCGCCCGCCCACGCAUAAACCCUCAGGUGCGCCUUUUGACGAUCGGGCUUUCGCUUUGCCGACACCAAUCCAACCUUUUCCACCAACAUACGAAGAAGUACCAUUUGUAGAAUAUUCGAAACAUGGAUCUGAAGGACGAUGCAUGAAGUGGACUUAUUGGUGAGCGGGUGAAGACCGAAAAACGGAAGGGAAAAGCAGCUGUAUUUUGGCCAUGAUUUUGGCCCACAAGUGCUGCUCUCAAUGAGGAGCAUGUGACGAAAUAAAUGAAAGAGCACAUAAAGAACAAAUCGAAGGACGAUCCGGUUAAAGGGCUUACAAUUAGUUCCAAAAGUUUAAAUACUGCACAAUUUCCAAAAAUGCAGAAAGGAGAUGUAUUGAACGUACAACAUAAAGAAGUAUAUCCAAAGGAUCCACCAUUGGGAAGGAGGAAUAGAGAAUGAACACCUAUAAGUUCGUCGAUAAUAGAAGCUUUACUCUUUUCAUUACUUAUACAUACAACUAUAAAAACAUUUUCCAUCAGAAGUGUUUCCAAAGGAUCCAUCGUUUGGAAGGAGGAAUAAUGAAUAAACACUUAAGUAUAUCAAGGAGAUAAAAAGAACGCAACGGAAAAGACUGAGAGAUAUUGGAAUACUAACUAGGAAUGCAGUGUUUAAGUUGGUUGGAAUUAAUGUACCACCGAAGGUAGAGAAAUUGGUGUUAGAAAUGAUCUUGGUAUUAGAAAGGAAAGAACAAAUAGAAUAUGUACUUGGAUCAAUUUGCAGCAGUGACAGAAGAACCUAAAGCUGAUUCGUGAUUAAUUAAAUUCUGUUUAGGUAUUAAUAUGAGACCUGAUUAAAAUUCUUACUUCGCAAAGUACUAUUUCUAUUUUUAUUAUCCUAUGCCCAUCCUUUUUCUUUUCUUAAUUUUAAUUUAGAGGGGAGUAAUGGUAGUGAGAGUGAGAACACAUAAUUUUUGAUCAAUAUAAUGCGCAGAUCUCUUUCUCACUACCAUUAAUUACAUAUAUUCGACUGUAGGGUGUACCACGGUGAGGACCAAAACAUUGCGGCUGGGAGCUGUUUUUUCUUCCAUUUUUCGGUCUCCGCUCGCUCGACUAUGCACUAUCCUUCAGGUCCAUGAUUCGAAACACAUAUAAAGGAUCUUUUCUACUAGGACGACACGACGAAAAGUAGUGCCGAAAUAUAGGAAAAGGCAUGUAAAAACUGGGUGCCUCCUUGACUCCCGCAGAGCGAGUGGCCAACUGUGCAUGCUCCAAGCAGGAACUGUCGUCGACGUAGACAUCUA